UGCUGUGUUCAGAAAAUGAGCAGUAACACUUUCAUGAAAAACCAAGCAGAGGCAUUUCAAGGGAGGAAGACAAUGACCUACGUUCUCAUCUAAUGUUCAGGGAGAUUAAUUUGAACACUUUCCAUAAAGCUACAAGCUACCUUGGUCAUUAUGUAAUUGAUGGACAACAGGGGGCAUCAGAAUCUUGCUAUUUCCAUACAAACAGAAACCGAACAGUGACAUCAUCUAUCAAGACCUAUGGGAGUCCACCAAAUGGAUUCUGCAGAUAAAAGCUUUUAAGUGGCAUCUUCUACAGCAGCAGUGAAGACUUGAGUAGAGGCCAGAAAUUGCCUUGGUGGAAAUGAUGGGUCCUCCAUUUGGUGGUGCCAUGUUGGCAGCGGUGAAGGUGAAAGUGGAGGAGGAAAAGGAGAACACCUGUCACUGGACCUGCUCCAGCUGCCCACCAAUGAGGAGGAGAGGAGCAGCAUUACCCGCCAGAGGCAUCCAUGAGUGCAGCGGAGACCUCUUUCUCCUCAUAAUGAUGCAGUUUGAUUGACAGCAGCACAAAUCAAGUGGGAAUGAUAGUCAUGUCAAAAAAGACACAAAUUCACGGAAUAAUGAAAUAACACGCUUCCAUAGUGGAAACUAUGCGUCGGCCUGAAUCAGAGACCCGGUGUCAAUGUGACACCCAAAGUGAUUUAAAUGCAAGUGGGAAUGGCCCUUAACAUAACAUCUCUGUCAAAGCACUCACAAUUUAGACUCAUAUGGAAGGAGAUGGUCUUUCAGAUAUCCUGGCUUUAACCUACUUAAGGCUUUAUAGGUAAAAAUCAGAAACAAAGUAGGUUCAGAAACAAGCUGGAAGCCAGUGUGUCCUUCAACUAAAGACCAUUUCAUAUUUUCAGAGCACCCUCGUAUAGGGUGUCUUGCAAUCAUCUCAGUGAUAGGAGUGAGGCACAGAUUACUGUAGCCUGUUCCAAAUUCUCCAGAAAUGAAUUAAAUUGAGUUAUUAGCCUCAGGUAUGUGGAGGCACCCCAAGCCAUAAUAGCUAUCUGACCGAACAGAAGGAAUCCUAGGUCCAAAGGCACUUCAGAACUAUGCAAUCUCGCCUUGAUUUCUGUAAUGCGCUCUACAUGGGGCAACCUUUGUGCCACGUCUGGAAGGCUCCAGUUGAUACAAA